rnacentral:rRNA from 1 species
GAAUAUUAAUAAUUGGUAUUAUAUAUUAGAUUGUAUUGUUAUAUCAUAUAAUUUAUAUAGAUUAAUUUUUUUUAUUUGUUAUGUAUGGGUUUACUAAAUAUUUAAAAAAUAUGAGAAUAAUACUAAUGUACUUACUAAGUAACGUGCCAGCAGUAGCGGUUACACUUACGGUAUAAAAUUAUAAAAAGAUUGGGAUAAUAAUAAAUAGAAUAUUUAUUGUAUUUUAUUAUGAAGGAGGUCAAAUUUUAGAUUAAUAAGUAAAAUAAAUUUUUUAGAGAUGAGUUAUUUGAAUAAGAGUAAAAACUAGGAUUAGAUACCCUAUUAUUCUUGUUGAGAUUUAGUAGUAAGUGAUUAACAUGAAACUAAAAAUUAUUGGCGGCUUUUAAAAUUCUUAGAGGAAUUUAUUCUUUAAAGGAUAUGACUCCAAAAUCUAGCUUUAGCUUGGUAUAUAUUUAAUAUGAAAAUAAUUAGGGAAUUUUAAAUAAGAUGAUAAAAUUUCUUAAAUUAAUUAGUAUUAAUUAUAUCCCAGCUUGUAUAUCGCUAUUAAAUUAUAUUUAAAUUUAUGUUUGUAGAUUUAAUUUAGUAAUAAACAUUUUUUAGGUCGAGAUGCAGCUUAUGCUAAAGGUUGAAAUAAAUUAUAUAAAUUAGAAUUUAACGAGAAUUAAUGUGUAAUUAUUAAAUUUAGAAAGAUUUAAAAGUAAAAUAACUUAAAAUGGUUUUUUGAAUUUAAAUUUAAAAGUGUACAUAUUGCCCGUCACUCUCUAUAAGAGAUAAGUCGUAACAAAGUAAAAUCACCGGAAGGUGUUUUUAAU